AUUGAACGCUGGCGGCAUGCUUUACACAUGCAAGUCGAACGGUAACAGGGAGCUUGCUCCGCUGACGAGUGGCGAACGGGUGAGUAAUGCGUCGGAACGUGCCGAGUAGUGGGGGAUAACGCAUCGAAAGGUGUGCUAAUACCGCAUACGUACUGAGGUAGAAAGUGGGGGACCUUCGGGCCUCACGCUAUUCGAGCGGCCGACGUCUGAUUAGCUAGUUGGUGAGGUAAAGGCUCACCAAGGCGACGAUCAGUAGCGGGUCUGAGAGGAUGAUCCGCCACACUGGGACUGAGACACGGCCCAGACUCCUACGGGAGGCAGCAGUGGGGAAUUUUGGACAAUGGGCGCAAGCCUGAUCCAGCCAUGCCGCGUGUCUGAAGAAGGCCUUCGGGUUGUAAACCGCUUUUGUCAGGGAAGAAAAGGUUCUGGUUAAUACCUGGGACUCAUGACGGUACCUGAAGAAUAAGCACCGGCUAACUACGUGCCAGCAGCCGCCGUAACAC
rnacentral:rRNA from 1 species